GGCGGGUCUGUGGUGGACGGGGAGGGUCCGUGGUGGGCGGGGGCGGGCCCGUGGUGGGCGGGCCGGACUGGACGCGGGUGGCCGUUGAAUUCCCGGCCCGGCCGCAGCUCCGAGGGUAUCCCUGCAGCACCCGCUUCCCGUUCCCUGCGGGCCUGAGGCUGGGGCCGCAACGCCCGGCGGGCAGGGGCUCCGAGCGCCCCGUGAAGGGCGGGUCCUCUCGGGCUGGGCCCAGACACCGCCCGCCCCACGUUGGUCCCGCGGCCCCGUCCCCUCCGCCCGCCUGGCGUUCGCGUGCCCUGGCCUGGGGCGGGGCGUUGCCGGGCCCCGCGGGCUGCGGGCGAGGCCGCCCUUUCUCUGGGCUGGCUCCGGGCUGUUCUGCUCCGCGCCGUUUUCCCGGUACUUCCCGCGGAGCCCGCCUCGCUGUGCGUCCCCGCCCGGGCGUUUCUUCCGCGGCGCUGAGCGCCCGCCCUGGCCUCGGGCAAGGGCAGCUGGACGCCCCCCGGACCAGGGCGCUGGGGCCGAGAUGCGUCCUCCGCAGUCGCCGCGCCUGGGCCCGUUUCCCCGCGGGUCCUCGCCGGGGUGGGGGACGCCUCUGGGCGUCCGUGGGGAUCUGGGGUGGGGGGCAGCAGAGCAGGAGGUGGGGGGCUGAGCCGGAGAAACGUCCUCGCCCCGCCCGGGACCUCGGACACCCCAGAACCUCAGGCCGGCAGCCAGCGGCAGGAAUCGCGCCCCAAAGCCCGGGGUCCGCGCCCGUCCGCCUGCCGCGAGCGCCAGGGGCUGCCGGGUCACCGGAUGCGGCCUCGAGGCAACGUCACAGGCCCCACGCACCCCCGGAGGUGGCGCGGGGACAGGGGUUCGGGAUGGACGGAACCCACCUAGGGAACGCUCCGGCCGUCCACGCCAGGCGCAGGGCGGCCGUCAGCUGGGGUUGGAGUUCCUGCCAACCCUGCGAAGAAAAAAGCAGCUCAUCUCUCACGCCCCGCCCCUUGACACGCGCUGAUCCGGCCUCGUUCUGGGUUCUCCCGGAGCCUGCAGGGCAGCCCCGCCCCAGGUGGCAGCAGCUGGGCCUGCAGCGUGUCCCUCAGGGUGCCUGGCCUCCAGGUCCAGAGUUUCCUGCGUCCCUGAGCUCGGAGUGCGCUGUCUCCACCCUCUCAUGGUCGUCAGGGUGCUAGUCCCGGCAGAAGUGCACCCAGGGGUUCGCAUUUAUAAAUAACUCCAGGGUGUCUUGCUGUGAGUAUGGAAAUCGGGAAGGCAGGUUAUCAUCUGCUUGGAAUGAUGUCAGAUCCAGCCCCAGGAAGUCUCCCAGCACCCAGCCUUCGUGGGCUGGGACAUCUAGAGGGGUAACGGCGGGGGCCUUCUGUAGCUCCACAUUAGACGGCUAAAGUUUGGGGAAAGCAGUUACACACAGAAAGCAAUCACGGUGGUAAUUAGCGUCAAAAUCCUGCGAGAUGUUUAGGCCUCCCAGGAGCCCUGGAGAAGCCCAGUCCUUCCACACAACCCCAGCACUCCUAGUGGCAGGGCCUCCAUCCCCCUGCUGGGGAGGGAGAUGGGAGUCUGGGUGGAGUGUGUGGUCUCUGUGGCCUUCAGCAGGACUGCACUUCAGGCUGAGCCUUUCCUCGGGGAGAAUUCACACCUUUACCUCAGCCUGCAACCCCAGAACACGUUACCUAGGGGCAAGUGAAUACUUUGCCCUCCUGUCCUCUUCACAAAGCACUGGGGCACAAGCCCCUCUUCCAGGGACCAGCAGCACCCAGCCCCUGCUUCCCCAGGCUCCUGCCCUGCACAGGGACCGCUGCCACUGCCCACCAAAAGCCGCUGCAGGGGGUGGGGCUGGCUCAGCUGCGCUCACAGAGGAUCCUCUGAUGGCCAAAGUGCUGGAGUGGAAAUCAGAGACCAAGAAGCCAAUUCUUGUGCCAGCUGCCCUGGUUAGGGAAAUACAGAAACUAAAAAUACUUCCCACUUCCGCUUCCUCCUUUUUAUAUCAGCCUCAUCAUAAAUGCACCUGACCUAACUUACCUGGUGCCGUGGUGUUUGUACUUGGAUUAGAUGAAGCAGCUCAGGGGUCCCCUCAUGCCCUCUCCUCUGUCCCCCUGCUGAAGAGGCAGCUCCCACAUGCGGCACUGCCUGACUGGCUGCUGGCCCUGGGCCUGGGACACCUGCAGAUAGACAGCAAGCCAUGGCCAGCAGGCUCGCAAGGUGCCCCCAGCUUGGGUGAUGGUGACACCCAGAACAGGGCACUUCCUGGAAGUGUGCUCUGGAAGGGCAGCGGGCACGGGUGGAGCAUUGGAAAGAGACACCCAGGACAGGCGGAGAGAGGCAUCCGGCAUAGGUGGGGCUGCAGCCACCUCUCCUCUUCAGGGCUGGCAAGGUAACCCUUGCCCUGUGCCCCACAGCUGCCCUGCUUUCCAGGCGUCUCCCAGAAGCACACUCCGCACUGCUUCUGCAUCCUGGCCACUCCCUCAGUGCCCAACCCCCUUCCCCAGCGCAGAGUGAACACAGAGAGGAUAGGGAGUGCCUGCUCUGCCAACGUGAAGGGCUGGCAGUGACACCUGUCCCUAUCAUAGGCACAAAAAGUUAUCCAUGUUGGUAAGUUGGAUUCAAGCCAUGCAUGGGAGCAGAUGGCUCUGCCCCGAAGGGUAAAACAUCAUGGAAGUGAUUUGGAGCCUCACACAGAGCAGCCCAUCAGCUUCUCUGGCGGCGUGCCCUGGUUUUAGCAGAAAAUAAUCACAGGGUCUCUAAUAUCUGGCUGUGGAGAAACUUGGCCCUCAUCAUGCCUAAUGGACGAGGGGUGGGCCCUGUGUCCUCUCAGCCCUUCACGGUAAGAAGCAAAUGAAUCCUUGGCCUGCCCCCCUCAGAUGGGCAUCUCCGCAACUGGGAUAGACAUCUCAGGCCCUGCAGCCCAUGAGUCACUGCUGACAGAGAGAGAGAGAGAGGGAGGAAAGAGCUCCUGCUGCCACCCUGGUGCCCUUGGGUGCUUCUCAGCCCUGGGGAGCAGUCCUCCCCUGCCCUGGGCCCCUCCCCCACUGCACGCAGAGCACUCCCCCCGGUCUUUUUUAUGUGCAAGGUUUCUUAUAUUUUGCAUAAAGAAGGAAUGCACAUACAUCACACAUGCACCAGAAACGUCACGGGUCAUCCAGACCUUCCUUUUAUUUUGGGAAGACUUUCAGCUCAGAGGCAGCCAGAACUCCGCCCCUUCUCUGUGUGCCUCAACGGGCUCCAUUAAGACUCUAAAAUUAGAACAACUCUUUGUUUUGGUGCCGAGCUACCACGUCACUCCCACCCUCCCUCCAACCUCUGCUGGGUUCUCAGGAAGAGACUGGAGGGGAAACGCAAAGCUUCCAAAUCCCGCACAGAAAGUCCACCAGCUGCUGGGCAGACCAGCAUGGGUGGGGUGUGCUGCAGACGCCCUUGCUUUGCCUACCGACGAGUAACACCUUAAAACUGACUUUUAUAUCCAUUUGCAGCUUUUUCAUUACGGCCACCUAAAACCUCUCUGUUGACAUCAGUAAUCCUCUGUAAUGUUUGUAGAGAUGUAUUUAAACACGUGGAGCUGCUCAGCAGAGUAUUCCUGUAAGAGAAAGAGGGUGGUGGGACAGGCUUGGCCCAGCCCCCCAAGCCUUUAUUUACUUAGGACCCCAAAUUUCUUGGUGUCCCACCUCUGCCACAGUUUAGCAAGUGCCUGCCUUCCUACUUUACUGGACUGAAAAAUAAAUACCAAUGCAUUUAGUCUCCUUGCAACCAACGACCUCUGGUAAGUGUUUUAUGGUGAAAAUUCAAGAACAUAAAUCAUGAGAAAUAUACCAUUAAAAUGUAAAUUAAGGGGACAAAACCCUCCACUGUAGCUGGAGUCACAAAUGGGGAACAUAGGAACUUAGUCUGGCUCACAAAGGAUUCUUUUUAGCCCCCUCUCUCCCAAUUGCCACCCCCCGGACCACCUAGGACUAGGCCAGUCUCUGUGUUUAUGGUACCUGGGGAGCCUAGGAGUUUGCAAACCUAGGAACAAAGGCUGGGCAACAAAGCUAAGGUCAGGAGGUCUUGUGUGUGCUGCCCUCUGGCCUCCCGGGUGAACGAGUCGGAAACCCCACACCCAGAGAACAGGAUGCGCCCAGCAGGUGGGUUGCCACGGCAGGUUCCCUUCCUCCCUGCCUGACAUCCAGAUGAUGGGGCCUCCUGGAAAUGCACAGAUAUGACUCACAUCUGUUGGCAUCCCAAGCUCCGACCGCACCGGUCUCUCCUUUCCCCUCCGCGUUGCGGGUCCCUGCUUAAAUGCUGAAGGGGCAGAUGGAGGUGGAGGUGGAGGAGCCUGCUGGUCCACUCCCGAGUCCCGGGGUCAGCCAUCAUGGAGAGCCAGGGGCGCUCCAGGCCGCUCCAGCUGGGGAGGCUCCUUGGGGUCCACCCCACCGCAUGCCCCGGCUGCCCCACUAACCACCAGCUCUAUGGCCACUGUAUCAGCAGCCCUGGCCCACACAGACUCUCUCCUGGAGCUCAGCAGGUCUACCCUUGCCUACCUCUGGCCUAAAGGCCCCCAAAGGAGCUGGUGGCACUCACUGUGCUGGUGUGGACACUACACGGAGGGUGCUUGUCAGCUGCUCAAAGAGGGCCUGACAGACAGCAGCUUCAACUCCACCCCAGCAGGCUCCACAGCUGCACCCACGCACGACGCUACUGCUGUUCCUUCUCUCUCUGGUGGCUGACCCUCUGCAGCAGGCAGAGCACGCUGUGCUGAUCCUGGGAGCAGUCCC
rnacentral:lncRNA from 1 species